GUACCUUCACAAGACAACCUUGCAGUCUGAAGACAUAAUCCAGAAAAUCAACACAUAUUCUUGGAGCUUGGAUGAUGAGGCUGAGUAUCAUGCAUUGAUGCUAUGUUUCAUCUAUGUGUGAUAAUGGAGUACCUCUUAGUAGUUUGCCUUCGGUAGGCAGGUGUUUUUUGUCUAAGUUCAAGCCUUCAUUGUGAAGUAUUUAUAAUUUCCAGCUUAUAAAUUUGUACGUUCACACCUUCCCAAGACCACAAUCAGACUAAGAAGAUGCCUAAAUAAGCUGUGAGGCUGCGUAUAUAUAAGUGUUUCUGUAAACCGAUCUAAAUCAUUCUACUAUCCGUACAACUAUCUUCAAUACAAUUGGCAUUGCAUUAUAUUUCUAGCUACAUCUCCUACUUACUCAGUACUAACAUCACUUCUAACUGGUGUCACGGUCGAGUGGAAGGGUGUCCCCGGUGACGUCACGGACAAGCCAGGAGAAGGACGACGCCCGGGUUUGGCCCCGGGCCUCUGGGGAGUUGGUGAUGGCGUCAUGGUAGACCCGGGCCUCGGGGCAGUUGGGGAAGGUGUCAUGGGGGCCCGAGCCUCCUCCUCGGACAAGGCUGCGACGAUCUGAGCUCCGGUCGAGGGGCAGCGACACUCCCUCGCUCGGCUGUGCGUUCGCCCGGCCAGUGUGGUGCAGCAGCAGUAGCGACCACCACUGCCAAGGAGCUCCAGCAAGCAUGUGCACAUGCUCUCCUUGCCCCUGAGCUCCUGCAACAACAACAUCAACAACAACGUGUGGUUGUUUGGUUCCACUUGCUGUGUUCAACAGAAACUGACAUCCAACACUGCUAUUCUAAGGUGGUUUAAUGAGGAACAGGAGGAAAUUGUUGUAGAACUGGGAUUAAAGCAUGUAAGAGUGUUGAUGGAUGCGACUCGGAGCAGGCCUCGGCUUGCACCUAAUGUGUGGGCAUAUGCAACUGAAGUUGAUGAAGCAAAGCUGAUGCAAGAUCAGAUGAUUCUGAAGCAGCGGCAGGUGCAGAGGCUCAUUCGAGGAGCGCCAGUAGGCGACCGAUGCGUUGCUCUCCCGUCGUUCUUUCUUCGUCAGGAAAGGCGCAGCCUGCUACUCAAGCCCCUCUCCUUCGCUCCUUGCAGAGCAGGAGAGGCAUGGGCGCCACCACACUCGGGAGACGAGGACGAGGUGGCCGCCGCUGCACCCCCACGCCGUGGACGCGAAGAGCAUCCUCUCUGCCCUCGAUAACCACUUCGGCGGCAGCAGCAAUGGCCUCUUCGUGGCAGGGCAGACCGCAGGGUCGUCUUCCUCUCCGGCCUCUUCCACACCAUCAGAUUCAGGCCCUCUCCCUCUGCAUCUCUGUAAAAAUAUGCUGGCAGCAGAACAAUUUAUCAUGCUUAGCUUGCAAGGUGGUGAUUGCAACCAUGUGCAUGACUCCUUAUGACUCUCAGCAGCAAGACGAUCUCCGGCAACCUAGAGGUUGAUAAAUUUAGUUAAGGAACAUAUAGACAUUUGAUUACUUCCUCUGUUAUCAAAGGGGACAGGGAUGCAUAGUGUCAGGGUGUUCAAAAUUUUCUUCUUCUAGGAAUGAUUGAGUUCACUCUUCUUCCUGAGCCGUUGGCUGUUGGCCGUGUGGAAGCAUGUCAGCUACCGGGGGAAUGAGAAUCUGUAGCAUGCCACUACUAUGCUUACCACCAACAAAGCCAAGGUCUCAUCUUUGAAAGAUUAAGGUUACUUUGCAGGGAGAUGAGACCCAUACCGAGACAUGACAGAUGGAUGGAUACAGAGCUAGCUAGGCGCACAACACUAUAAUAAACUUUGCACUGAAACUUUGGUAAUCAACAAUACAUAGAAACAUGUUGGCCCCUCUUCAUUGGUGCCCUUAGUAAAUUCAAAUUUGGUAGUGGCACUGCAUGCCUAAAACUCUCCUGUAGGUUGGUUCAUUGAUUUAGAUUGAUACAAUUGUCCAAGAAGCCAAUUAAUUGAUUUCGAAUCUAUUGUGGUGCAUUAUCUAAGCUUGAAUUGUUAGUGUCGUUUAAAAAUAUCUCUUGCUUUUAAAGUAGUAUUAGUAAAAUGGCUAAAGCGCGCAUGAGAGUCUAAAUCAGUUUAAAUCAUAACAGUCUCUUGUUUUCUUCAAAGAAUUUUCUGGUUGCAUAAAUAAGUCGUGAGGAAGAUUUGGAUGCAAGCACCCAUCUUUCAUGAGAGAGACCUAUGUUGUACAUUUGAAUUCUUCUAUGUUUAUACUCUGCCAAGUUAUCUCAAGCAUAUGAUUUUACUUUGGUACAUGUUGAUUAUAUAACUGGAUGCAUAUGCAUAAAUCAAGGAUAAGCAGCAGAAGGACAAGUUGUAUUUCUCGAGAUGUUCUCUUCUUUAUUUUACAUGUUAAAGCAUGGACCUUCUUGCUCAGGUUUCAGAUUUCUCAACCAUACUUCCAUGCAAAUAUUAAUUCUUGACUCGUUAUUCAGUAACCUCGCACAUGUCCAUUUUCUAUCUAUAUCGUCAGUAUUAAACUUCAUACAUAACUCCUUAUAUUCUUAGGUUUAGAACAUUGCAAAUCAGGGUAGGCGGUGCAUUUGGAAGGUUCAUAUUCUAUUCAAAAGCAUUUCAUCGAUAGUCAAAUGCUUCACAGUAGAAUAUGCUACCUCAUUUUUUAGGUGUCCUAAGGUUCAUAUUUCGUUGCGUUAUCAAAAGCAGCAUGUUUUAUUGUUUUAGUUAGCAUUGCACUAAUCAAAGACCACAAAAAAUACACGCGCGCGCCCUUAAAGAACCGCGCCUAUAUAGAUGUUGCGUACUGAACCAUAGAUAUAUAUAUUCUCCUUGCAUAUACAUUUCUUUCUACUCAAUAUUGUAUGUAGAUGUCCAUCUGUAGAUAAUGUGGCCCAUAGAAUGUGAUAUGUUCUUUUAUCUUGGAACCAAUUUAUGUAGCGAGGCCGACGAUUUGACUAUAACAUUAUUUCUCCUUCGACUGAAUACUGCAUCUUUUUUGCAAUUGUCCCAAAUGUUUUAUAGCUCCUAAAUUGCGUGUCAUCGAAGCCAGUUGGAAAAUAUGAUGUGUCUUAAGAUAAUCAUAACAUAACUGAAUAUAUCAAGCAUGCUAAUGGCAUUAGAUUAACUUUCGAGGAAUAUGACAGGAGACGAUGACCGCUACCAUGAUUUUAUGGCACCUUAGUAGGAGACGAUGACCGCUACCAUGAAUAGGUUUAAAUGUCGCAUGGCUUCCAUUGAACAGAACCAAGAUAGAAAACAACUGUGCAUAAACUUAUAACAUAAACUGUUGCUGCUUUGUUGGUUUUAUCGAGGAUGUUUUCUUCAAGCAUGUGCUAAUCACGCGCUAUUUUCUUUUUUCACUUUCAUUAUUCCUCUGGCUCAAGUGAUAGCCACAUUCUGAAAGGAGCGAGGGUUGACAACCCGAUCUACAACAGCGACGAUCCAGGCCUUCCAAACGCAGUGUACUCAACACAGAAGGCAAGGACGGUUGGUCUUGACGCAACCAUUCACUAUCCAUCAAAGCACCAACUAGACAACCGACUUCCAAGGAAAUCAAUAUCCAUCUACGUGUACGGUAAAUUCAAAGAAGCUGAAGAUCGACCGGCAACUGAAGCUCUCAAGUAGUCUUAAGUGAAGUGAAGGAACUUUACCGCAUAAUAGAUACAAACUUCACAGCAAGAUCAACACCCAAAGCCAACAGUUUGAAACAUAUUUUGUCACAGAUAAGAUAUGUUGCUGAUCGUCUUAACGAUACAAUCAAAAGCCGAUAUAUAGAAAACAAACAAAUAUUAUUGGAGCCUGGACGAUGGUAUCGAAGGAAUUUCUGCUCUGAGCAAUGCAGGCCAUGAAGAACAGCAGCUAUAAAGACUUGCCUCAAAGAGAUCAUUCUAAACAUCCAGCAAUACAUCUGUCUAAUGUAGCUCUGCCUAUCUACAUGCUUUGCUCAUAAAAUUAUAAAUGAUCGUUCGUAAGCUUCUUAAAAAACAUGUAUCAUCCGCAACCAUCUAUCUAUCAUCAAUACGUACUUAUUUCCAUAUGUUUCCUUCUGUGUCUAUAUAUUUUGAUGCACACUCUUCCAAUAGUUGGCUUGCUCUCGGCCUUUGCGCCAUGGGCGCAACGGGUCAUCUAGUUGAACAUAUAAAGGAUGAGCCCCCUGCUAGACACAACCAGGCUAUCCACGUCAGUUAUGAAUAGUGGCCGAGACAGCCAUUGCGCGCCCGCUGCGCGCUCGACGUGUAGGAUGUCGUGACCCCACGCCCGUUCAUUUUCUCCUCGAUCCUUCCCGCAUGGUCAUCCUUCUAUGACCUCGCCCUCCGACGAGCUCUCCCCCUCAGCCAACCUGCUCUAGGAUCUGACUGACUUGGGAGGCAAAGAGGGUCGGCCCGUCUGCCUGUGUGCCUCCACAGUCAGGCAAUGAGGAAAGGCGAGGAUGCAACGGCCGCUGGAGAAGCAAAGGGGAGGAGGUGACGUAAGAGGGCAGCAGCGAUCUCAGCAGCUCGGGGUUCCUCGGUCCUCAGUAGGUCACCUGCCUCGUCCGCCGCUUCACCGCCUCGAGCCAGCCCCCGCCAUGGAGCCGCUGCUCCCCCACCUCGAGCCAGCCGUCGCCAUGAAGACAUGGAUCCUACACAGGAGGAGGAGAAACGCGAAGGGGAGGAGCGGUGGUGGCGGCGUCGAGCUGCGAAGGGGCGCAGCUCGGGCGCCAGACGACGGAGGUGUCCUUCCCUCGAGCUGCACUGCCGUCCAUCUAUCUACAUGUUUCUUGAUCCGCUGCUGCCGCGCGCUGUGCUUUUGGAUCGCGUGCAGGUCGCUACCAUAGGAGAGCAGGGGGCGUUGUGGUCUUUGUGGUGGGCAUGAAGCAGGGGAGGAUGAGCGGGAUGGCCAUGAGGCAAGGAGUAGCAAGAUAUUGAGAGAAAAGGAGAAGGGGAUGAAUCUUGAGGAAGAGCUCGGUGAAGAACAAGAGUGGAUAUUUCAGAAU